CAAUAGCGUAUAUUAAAGUUGUUGCAGUUAAAAAGCUCGUAGUUGGAUUUCUGGUUGGAGUAACCGGUCCGGUCUGUAAAGAUCGCGAGCCGAAAGUUAUCUCUGAUCAUCCUUGUGGAGAAAGUAUUUGGCAUUAGGUUGUCGAGUACGGGAUCUGCAUCGUUUACUGUGAAAAAAUUAGAGUGUUCAAAGCAGGCUUAUGCCGCUGAAUACAUUAGCAUGGAAUAAUAAGAUACGACUUUGGUGGUCUAUUUUGUUGGUUUGCACACCAAGGUAAAUGAUUAAUAGGGACAGUUGGGGGUAUUCAUAUUUAAUUGUCAGAGGUGAAAUUCUUGGAUUUAUGAAAGAUGAACUACUGCGAAAGCAUUUACCAAGGAUGUUUUCAUUAA
rnacentral:rRNA from 1 species